CUGAUAUAGACAAACUUGGAUACUUUUUGUUUUAUAUGUAAAUUUUAGGAGAGGCAGGUAUAAUUAAUAAUGUGAAAAGCACGUCAAGGAUACAGUGUGUUCACUUAUAAGAUUAAAUCAGAACUACUAACAGUAUACACGUUAAACAGGACAUAACUGCACUGAUAUAAGUAUAAUAAAGUUACAAUGUUUAUAUGUAGAUCUAAAAGUCAAAAAUAAAAAUAGAUCACACAGUAAAGAAAGCAUACACCUAAACAUGAAUGAGAACAAGUAGUAGUGAGGUGAUGUUAACCUUGAUCCC